GUGUGUCACUAGGGGAGCCGCUUGGGCUGAGAUUGGAUCGAUAGAUCCUAGACCCUCUGAACCUGAUCUGGUUGAUACCAGCGUAGGGAAGUGGAGAGCGUCAGCA
rnacentral:ncRNA from 2 species